rnacentral:lncRNA from 1 species
UUGAAGGAAACUCUAAUUGCAUGGUGGUCAGAGCAUCAGAUGCUUCCUCCUCGCAAGGGCAUUUCUCUACCGACAGACAAGGGGCUGAAAUUGAACAAGUUAUGACGCAGGACGUCAAUUGGUUGGAGAAGAAAAAGCGUCGGAGGAAGCCAGCUAGGAGAAUAGUCUCAUUGUGUGUUGAAAGUGAACAAGUUAUGACGCAGGACGUCAAUUGGUUGGAGAAGAAAAAGCGUCGGAGGAAACCUGCUAGGAGAAUAAUCUCAUUGUGUGAGGAAAAUGAAGAUAAUAAGACAGCAGAAGCCAAAAAACCAGAUGUAGA